rnacentral:rRNA from 1 species
GCCAUCAUUCAAAGAGUGCGUAAUAGCUCACUAGUCGAGUGACGCUGCGCCGAAAAUUUACCGGGGCUAAGCAUAGUACCGAAACUGUGGAUGUACGUAAGUACGUGGUAGGAGAGCGUUCUAAGUGCGGCGAAGGUUAACCGAGAGGAUAAUUGGAGCGCUUAGAAGUGAGAAUGCCGGUAUGAGUAGCGAAAGAUAGGUGAGAAUCCUAUCCGCCGAAAGACUAAGGUUUCCUGGGGCAGGCUCGUCCGCCCAGGGUAAGUCGGGACCUAAGGCAAGGCCGAGAGGCGUAGUCGAUGGAUAACAGGUAGAUAUUCCUGUACUGUGUUCAAUCGUUAAGAGCGAAGGAGGGACGCAGGAGGUGAAGCACGCAUCGCGAUGGAACGAUGUUCAAGCGACAAGUGCGGUUAAGAGUCAAAUGCUUCUAACCAGCAACACGAGUCGUGAUGAGGAGCGAAUUAAAAGUAGCGAAGGUGUGGUAGUCACACUGCCAAGAAAAGCUUCUAGCCAGAGAGAACAUACCCGUACCGCAAACCGACACAGGUAGUCGAGUGGAGAACACUAAGGUGAGCGAGAGAACUCUCGUUAAGGAACUCGGCAAAAUGACCCCGUAACUUCGGAAGAAGGGGUGCUGGCCAUGAGAAUGGUUAGCCGCAGUGAAUAGGCCCAAACAACUGUUUAUCAAAAACACAGGUCUCUGCAAAAUCGUAAGAUGACGUAUAGAGGCUGACACCUGCCCGGUGCUGGAAGGUUAAGAGGAGAGCUUAGCGUAAGCGAAGGUUUGAAUUGAAGCCCCAGUAAACGGCGGCCGUAACUAUAACGGUCCUAAGGUAGCGAAAUUCCUUGUCGGGUAAGUUCCGACCUGCACGAAAGGUGUAAUGAUUUGGGCACUGUCUCAACGAGAGACUCGGUGAAAUUAUAAUACCCGUGAAGAUGCGGGUUACCCGCGACAGGACGGAAAGACCCCAUGGAGCUUUACUGUAGCUUGAUAUUGAGUAUCUUUUAAACAUGUACAGGAUAGGUAGGAGCCAAGGAAAGCAGGACGCUAGUUUUGCUGGAGGCGAUGUUGGGAUACUACCCUUGUUUGAAGGAUGCUCUAACCUCGACCUGUAAGCCAGGCCAGGGACAGUGUCAGGUGGGCAGUUUGACUGGGGCGGUCGCCUCCUAAAGUGUAACGGAGGCGCUCAAAGGUUCCCUCAGAAUGGUUGGAAAUCAUUCGCAGAGUGUAAAGGUAUAAGGGAGCUUGACUGCGA